rnacentral:rRNA from 1 species
GAUGAGUGGCGAACGGGUGAGUAACACGUGAGUAACCUGCCCCCUUCUUUGGGAUAACGCCCGGAAACGGGUGCUAAUACUGGAUAUUCACUGGCCUUCGCAUGGGGGUUGGUGGAAAGGUUUUUUCUGGUGGGGGAUGGGCUCGCGGCCUAUCAGCUUGUUGGUGGGGUGAUGGCCUACCAAGGCUUUGACGGGUAGCCGGCCUGAGAGGGUGACCGGUCACAUUGGGACUGAGAUACGGCCCAGACUCC